CUAACAAGGAUUCCCCUAGUAACUGCGAGUGAAGCGGGAAAAGCUCAAAUUUGAAAUCUGGCAGUCUUUUUUUUCUUCUUUGGCUGUCCGAGUUGUAAUCUAGAGAAGUGCUUACCUGCACUGGACCAUGUAUAAGUCUCCUGGAAUGGAGCGUCACAGAGGGUGAGAAUCCUGUCUUUGACAUGGACUGCCAGUGUGUUGUGGUGUGCUCUCAAAGAGUCGAGUUGUUUGGGAAUGCAGCUCUAAAUGGGUGGUAAACUCCAUCUAAAGCUAAAUAUUGGCGAGAGACCGAUAGUGAACAAGUACCGUGAGGGAAAGAUGAAAAGGACUUUGGAAAGAGAGUUAAACAGUAUGUGAAAUUGUUGAAAGGGAAACGCUUGAAGUCAGUUAUGUUGGCUAGGGAUCAACCUAGCUAUUUUUUGCUGGGUGAAUUUCCUAGUUUGACAGGCCAACAUCAGUCUUGACUGCUGGAAAAGAGCAGGGGGAAUGUGGCACCUUUGGGUGUGUUAUAGCCCUUUGUCAUAUGUGGCAGUUGGGACUGAGGGAUGCAGCGUGCUGUGAAGCUGGGUUUUAUGACCACGUUCACGCUUAGGAUGUUGGCUUUUAAUGGCUUUAAUCGACCCGUCUUGAAACACGGACCAAGGAGUCUAACAUGCCUGCGAGUGUUUGGGUGGGGAAAACCCUUGUGCACAAUGAAAGUGAAAGUUGAGAUCCCUGUCAUGGGGAGCAUCGACGCCCGGACCUGAGCUUUUAGCGAUGGAUCCGCGGUAGAGCAUGCAUGUUGGGACCCGAAAGAUGGUGAACUAUGCCUGAAUAGGGCAAAGCCAGAGGAAACUCUGGUGGAGGCUCGUAGCGAUUCUGACGUGCAAAUCGAUCGUCAAAUUUGGGUAUAGGGGCGAAAGACUAAUCG
rnacentral:rRNA from 1 species